rnacentral:rRNA from 1 species
CCUACGGGAGGCAGCAGUGGGGAAUUUUGCGCAAUGGGCGAAAGCCUGACGCAGCAACGCCGCGUGGAGGAUGAAGGCCUUCGGGUCGUAAACUCCUGUCGAUGGGGACGAAAGCCUCGCAAGAGGUUUGACUGUACCCGUUGAGGAAGCCACGGCUAACUCCGUGCCAGCAGCCGCGGUAAUACGGAGGUGGCAAGCGUUGUUCGGAAUUACUGGGCGUAAAGGGCGCGUAGGCGGCUUGACAAGUCAGAUGUGAAAGCCCCGGGCUUAACUCGGGAAUUGCAUCUGAAACUGUUUAGCUUGAGUCCUGGAGGGGAUGGUGGAAUUCCCAGUGUAGCGGUGAAAUGCGUAGAUAUUGGGAGGAACACCUGCGGCGAAGGCGGCCAUCUGGACAGUGACUGACGCUGAGGCGCGAAAGCUAGGGGAGCGAACGGGAUUAGAUACCCCAGUAGUC